UCCUUACGUAGAAUCUGCACAAGAGGAGCCA
rnacentral:piRNA from 1 species